CCUCUGACGUUAGCGGCGGACGGGUUAGUAACACGUGGGUAACCUACCUAUAAGACUGGGAUAACUCCGGGAAACCGGGGCUAAUACCGGAUAACACAUGAAACCGCAUGGUUUCAUGAUGAAAGACGGUUUUGCUGUCACUUAUAGAUGGACCCGCGGCGUAUUAGCUAGUUGUAAGGUAACGGCUUACCAAGGCAACGAUACGUAGCCGACCUGAGAGGGUGAUCGGCCACACUGGAACUGAGACACGGUCCAGACUCCUACGGGAGGCAGCAGGU
rnacentral:rRNA from 1 species